rnacentral:rRNA from 1 species
AUUGAACGCUGGCGGCAUGCUUUACACAUGCAAGUCGAACGGUAACAGGCCGCAAGGUGCUGACGAGUGGCGAACGGGUGAGUAAUGCAUCGGAACGUGCCCAGUCGUGGGGGAUAACGUAGCGAAAGCUGUGCUAAUACCGCAUACGAUCUAUGGAUGAAAGCGGGGGACCGUAAGGCCUCGCGCGAUUGGACCGGCUGAUGUCAGAUUAGGCAGUUGGUGGGGUAAAGGCUCACCAAGCCAACGAUCUGUAGCUGGUCUGGGAGGACGACCAGCCACACUGGGACUGAGACACGGCCCAGACUACUACGGGAGGCAGCAGUGGGGAAUUUUGGACAAUGGGCGCAAGCCUGAUCCAGCAAUGCCGCGUGCAGGAAGAAGGCCUUCGGGUUGUAAACUGCUUUUGUACGGAACGAAAAGGUUUGGGUUAAUACCCUGGGCCGAUGACGGUACCGUAGAAUAAGCACCGGCUAACUACGUGCCAGCCGCCGCCGUAA